GUCUCCGUAGCUCAGUUGGAUAGAGCGUCCGCCUCCUAAGCGGAAGGUCGUUGGUUCAAAUCCAAUAGGGGAUGCCA
rnacentral:tRNA from 1 species